AUUGAACGCUGGCGGCAGGCCUAACACAUGCAAGUCGAGCGGAGCGGCGGACGGGUAAGUAAUGCCUAGUAAUCUGCCUGGUAGUGGGGGAUAACGUCCGGAAACGGGAGCUAAUACCGCAUACUAUCAGAUGAGCCUAGGUCGGAUUAGAUAGUUGGUGGGGUAAAGGCCUACCAAGGCGACGAUCCGUAACUGGUCUGAGAGGAUGAGCAGUCAAACUGGAACUGAGACACGGUCCAGACUCCUACGGUAGGCAGCAGUGGGGAAUAUUGGACAAUGGGCGAAAGCCUGAUCCAGCCAUGCCGCGUGUGUGAAGAAGGGCUUCGGAUUGUAAAGCACUUUCAGCGGGGAGGCGUUACCCGCAGAAGAAGCACCGGCUAACGCCGUGCCAGCCGCCGCGGUAAUAC
rnacentral:rRNA from 1 species